CCUACGGGAGGCAGCAGUGAGGAAUAUUGGUCAAUGGCCGUAAGGCUGAACCAGCCAAGCCGCGUGAAGGAAGAAGGAUCUAUGGUUUGUAAACUUCUUUUAUAGGGGAAUAAAGGUAUCCACGUGUGGAUUUUUGCAUGUACCCUAUGAAUAAGCAUCGGCUAACUCCGUGCCAGCAGCCGCGGUAAUACGGAGGAUGCGAGCGUUAUCCGGAUUUGAUGGGGUUAAAGGGUGCGUAGGUUGUGUUUUAAGUCAGCGGUGAAAGUUUGUGGCUCAACCAUAAGAUUGCCGUUGAAACUGGAAGACUUGAGUGCGGUAGAGGUGGGAGGAAUUCGUGGUGUAGCGGUGAAAUGCUUAGAUAUCACGAAGAACUCCGAUUGCGAAGGCAGCUCACUGGACUGCAACUGACGCUGAGGCUCGAAAGUGUGGGUACCAAACAGGAUUAGAUACCCGAGUAGUC
rnacentral:rRNA from 1 species